AUUGAACGCUGGCGGCAGGCCUAACACAUGCAAGUCGAACGAGUGGCGGACGGGUGAGUAAUGUCUGGGAAAUUGCCUGAUGGAGGGGGAUAAUUACUGGAAACGGUAGUUAAUACCGCAUACCAUCAGAUGUGCCCAGCUGGGAUUAGCUGGUGGGUGGGGUAACGGCUCACCAAGGCGACGAUCCCUAGCUGGUCUGAGAGGAUGACCAGCAACACUGGAACUGAGACACGGUCCAGACUCCUACGGGAGGCAGCAGUGGGGAAUAUUGCACAAUGGGCGCAAGCCUGAUACAGCCAUGCCGCGUGUAGGAAGAAGGCCUUCGGGUUGUAAAGUACUUUCAGCGGGGAGGCGUUACCAGCAGAAGAAGCACCGGCUAACUCCGUGCCAGCAGCCGCGGUAAUAC
rnacentral:rRNA from 1 species